CAAACUGGAGAUGGCGACCGGCGCACGGGUGAGUAACACGUAUCCAACCUGCCGAUAACUCGGGGAUAGCCUUUCGAAAGAAAGAUUAAUACCCGAUGGCAUAAUAGAACCGCAUGGUUUGAUUAUUAAAGAAUUUCGGUUAUCGAUGGGGAUGCGUUCCAUUAGGCAGUUGGUGGGGUAACGGCCCACCAAACCUUCGAUGGAUAGGGGUUCUGAGAGGAAGGUCCCCCACAUUGGAACUGAGACACGGUCCAAACUCCUACGGGGGCAGCAUG
rnacentral:rRNA from 1 species